AGCAGCCGCGGUAAUUCCAGCUCCAAUAGCGUAUAUUAAAGUUGUUGCAGUUAAAAGCUCGUAGUUGAAUUUCGGGAUUGACACAUCGGUCGUGCCUUAAGGGGUAUGAACUGGUGUAGUCAAUUUCUCACCUUCUGGAGAACCGCGAUGCCCUUAAUUGGGUGUCGCGGGGAACCAGGACCUUUACUUUGAAAAAUUAGAGUGUUUAAAGCAGGCAUUUUGCUUGAAUACAUUAGCAUGGAAUAAUAAAAUAGGACGGCAUGAUUCUAUUUUGUUGGUUUCUAGGAUCACCGUAAUGAUUAAUAGGGAUAGUUGGGGGCAUUAGUAUUCAAUUGUCAGAGGUGAAAUUCUUGGAUUUAUUGAAGACUAACUACUGCGAAAGCAUUUGCCAAGGAUGUUUUCAUUAAUCAAGAACGAAAGUUAGGGAUCGAAGACGAUCAGAUACCGUCGUAGUCUUAACCAUAAACUAUGCCGACUAGGAAUCAGACGAUGUUUAAUUUUUAAUGUACUUCGUUUGGCU
rnacentral:misc_RNA from 1 species